rnacentral:rRNA from 1 species
CCUACGGGAGGCAGCAGUGAGGAAUAUUGGUCAAUGGACGCAAGUCUGAACCAGCCAUGCCGCGUGCAGGAAGACGGCCCUAUGAGUUGUAAACUGCUUUUGUACGAGGGUAAACGCAGAUACGCGUACCUGUCUGAAAGUAUCGUACGAAUAAGGAUCGGCUAACUCCGUGCCAGCAGCCGCGGUAAUACGGAGGAUUCAAGCGUUAUCCGGAUUUAUUGGGUUUAAAGGGUGCGUAGGCGGUCGGAUAAGUUAGAGGUGAAAUCCCGAGGCUCAACUUCGGAAUUGCCUCUGAUACUGUUAGGCUAGAGAGUAGUUGCGGUAGGCGGAAUGUAUGGUGUAGCGGUGAAAUGCUUAGAGAUCAUGCAGAACACCGAUUGCGAAGGCAGCUUACCAAGCUACGUCUGACGUUGAGGCACGAAAGCGUGGGGAGCAAACAGGAUUAGAUACCCUUGUAGUC